rnacentral:lncRNA from 1 species
CCUCGCGAGCGCCGCCGUGUGGCGGGAGGGCGAAGUGCCCGGUGAUUGGCCGCGCGGCGCGUCUCCAAGGGGAAGAGGAGUGAGGGGCGAGGGUUCGCCGCGCCCCUGGAGUCCUCUCUGCGUUGUGUGACAGUUCUUGUGGCGGAGAAGGAGGUUUCAUCGAGUGUGGAUACCCACCCACCCUGCCUCCCAGUGUCAAGAGCACAUGGUCCGCGCUGAGCUGCGGGUGUAGCCCAAAGGACUUGAGACCUCGUGUUCUGGGGGAGGACAGACAGAGUUCACCGUCUCCAGCUGAGGAAGACUUUGAAGGUGGAGAAAGAAGAUCUUUGAAGCCAAAGAAUACAGGCAGCCUCUAGAAGCUGGGAACGGCCCUCAGCUGACAGCCAGCAAGGAACAGGGACUUCAUUCUACGACUGCAUGGAACUGAAUUCUGCCGACAACCUGAAGGAGCGUGGAAGCAGAUUCUCCCCUACUGUCUCCAGAAAAGAACACAGCCCUGCUGAUGCCUUGAUUUAACCUGGUGAGACUCAUGCCAGACUUCUGACCGACAGAGCUGUGAUAAUAAACUUCUGUUGUUUUAAGCCACUAAAUUUGUGUUAGUUUGUUAUGGCAACAAGAGAAAACUAAUACACCCUGUAAGGGGUGGAGGGUGAGAAGUGAGCUCUUUUUCUUACCCAAUUCCUUCUUGUCCCACUCCAAUUUUUCUCAUCAGGAGCAUAAGUCAGACUUUGCAGAUAAGCUAUGCACAUUGCAUUGUAAGUACUUAAUUGAUAAGGGGUUGACUUUUGUUUAUGGUGGGUGCUAGGGAUCCAAUUUAAUAUCCAACUGAUAUUAAACAAUGUGAAUACUUUUUAUAGUUUAAAGUAAUUUGUAGAUUGGGGGGUUUUCUCUUUAAUCAUAUCAUCUGCAGAAGUUUUAUUUCUUCCUUUUUGAUUCUUUUGCCUUUUACAUGUGUCUCUCUGUGUGAGAAUGCCCAGGCUAGGCCUUUUAGCACAGUGUUGAAUAGAGUGAUAAUAGUAAACAUCCUCAUUCUGUUUAUGAUUUUAAAGGAAAGCUCUUAAAGUUUCACCAUGUGUAUAUGAUGUGUAUGACAUCUUUAUGCUUUUCCUUUUGUUUAUUGAGUUAGGGAAGUUUCCUUCUAUUUCUAUAAUAGUUUUUUUUUAAAUCAUGAGUGAAUGUUGACUCUCAUUAAAUAUUUCUUCUGUGUCUAUUGAGAUGACCACAUGAUUUUUUCUUGUAAUUUGUUAAUGAGGUGAAUUGCAUUAAUACAUUUUCUAAUGUUGAACCAAUCUUACAUUUCUGGAAGAAACCAAACUUGUCAUUUUAAAAAAUAUUCUGUUUAGAAUUAUUGCACUUAUGUUUAUGGAUGAGGUGGGACUGUGGUAAUCUCUCUCAUAUUGUCUUUGAUAGUUUUGAUGUUAAUAUUAUACAGAUAUCUACUUAAUACUAGUAAUUUGUUUCUGAAAAUCAGAUGUUGUGUGCAGAAACAUUAACUGGGAGCUUAUUUCCCUUUAAUUAAUUAACUAAUUAGUUAAUUUUGAAGAUUGGCACCUGAGCUAACAUCUGUUCCCAAUCUUCUUUUUUCCUUCUUCUUUUUCUCCCUAAUGCCCCCCAUAGUUGUAUAUUUUAGUUGUGAGUCCUUCUAGUUGUGGCAUGUGGGACGCCACCUCAGCAUGACUUAAUGAGUGGUGCCACGUCCACGCCCAGGAACUGAACUGGUGAAACCCUGGGUUUCCAAAGCAGAGCGUGCGAACUUAACCACUUGGCAUGGGGCCAGCCCUCCCUUUAUUUUUAUUUAUUUAUUUUUACAUUUUUUUGCAGAGAAAGAUUUGCUCUGAGCUAACUUCUGUUGCCAGUCUUCCUUUUUCUCCUUCUUUUUUUUCUUCCCAAAACCCCAGUGCAUGGUUGUAUAUCCUAGUUGUAAGUCUUUCUAGUUCUUCUAUGUCAGCUGCCACCACAGCAUGGCUACUGACAGAUGAAUGGCGUGGUUCUGUGACCAGGAACCGAACCUUGGCCACCAGAGCAGUGAGAGCGCUCAACUUUAACCAGUAGGCCAUCAGGGCUGGCUCCUCUUUGUUUUAAAUGGUAAAAUUAUGAUGGGUUACUUGUUAACCCAACCAAUUUUCUAAAAUGUAAAGUAAGAUAUAGUAAACAAACCUCUAUUAAAUAACAAACUAUAACAUUAGACUGUAAAUGUUCAUAACUUUGCGUCUUGAUCACCGAACAACAUAGCUGUUAAAGAGUUGCUUUGUCAGGAGGAACAGAUUCUCUUUCAUUGUUGAUGCUUUUCUGCUUGCUUUGCUUCCUUCUCCAUUAAGUUCUUGAACACUUUCUCAACGUUUUUGGUUCUCAUUCUACAAAAUUAGGGAAAAAAAAGGGCAAUAGGAAAUAUGAAGGCACUGUGGAAAUGUGGCAGAGAAUGGUUCACACUGAGGAUGUUACUGUAAUGCUGCUUUUGUCACUGGUAGCAUUUGUGUAGACUCUCCCUUUCAUUGAUAUUCACUUCACUUUGCGAUUUGUUGACACGUGAACCAGGCAUUUUACCAAUUGUGUUUGUAAUGUUACUCAAGGCAUUUCCCACACUUUGUUUUUUCUUUUUUGUCUGUCAUUGGUAAAAUGUUGUAUUGAGUUUUGGUGUCCUAAAUAUAAUUUUUCGUGUGUAAAUAUCAGUUGAAAUGUUGUUUUGAGAUAUAUAAAUGUUGUAUGAUAUUGGAGCAUUAAAUGCAAGAGGUAAUUUACUGGGAAAACAUUAAUUAGGGAAAUGUUCUGUGGAGAGUGCCUGUACUGGCUUUACAAAAUUAGGUAGAGAACUUUUCCUCUUUUACUCUUCUCUGAAAAAUUUAGUAUGUCAGAAUUAAUUUUUCUUAAUUUUUAAAAUAAACCUGACUUUUAAAACUAUCUGGGUCUAGUAUUUUUUUUUUGUGGGAAGAUUUUUAAAUUACUGAUUCAGUUUCUUUAAUGGACGUUGGACCAUUCAGGUUUUUUCUUCUUUAGUCGGUUUUGGUAAGUUAGCUUUCCUAGAACUGUGCCUGUUUCUUCCGUGUUUUUAAAUUUGUUGGCAGAAACUUGUUCAUGAUUGUUAGAUUUUUUCCUGACACCACCCGAUUCUCUGAUUCUCUGACAUCAACCGUGUGUCCAAAAAUUUGAUUUAAUUCGGACACUAAUUCCUAGAGUUGGCACAGGUUAAGGGCUCAGUCCCACAAGACUGCUCCCAUUUGAUUUGCCAGCUGCAGUGGGGUGCCCAGGCUGCCCACACUUCUGCUCAGCCGGCUGCAUAUUGGGGGGUUUCCAUGACCCUCUCCCCCCACCUCAGGUUUGAUAAUUCACUAGAAUGAGUCACAGAACUCAGGAAAACACUUUACUUACUGUUACCAGUCUAUUAUAGAGAAUACAACUCAGCAACAGUCAAAUGGAAGAGAUGCAUAGGGCAUGGUAUGGGGUGGAGGUGGGGUGUGGAGCUUCUAUGCCUUCUCUGGGCAUGCCACCCUCCCAGCAGUUGGAUGUGUUAACCAGCCCAGAAGCUCCCUGAACCUUGUUGUUUAGGAGUUUUUAAGGAGGCAUGAUUCAUUAAAUCAUUGGCUAUUGAUGUUCGAACAAAACCUCCAGACCCUUUCUCCUCUCCAGAGAUGGGGUUAGGGUGGGUAGGACUGAAAGUUCCAACUCUAAUCGCAUGGUUUGCUCCCCUGGCAAGUAGCUCUAAUCCUGAAGCUACCAAGAGGGCCCACCAGGAGUCACUUUAUUGACUUUGUGUCUUCUUCGAUUUCCUUCAUCAAUGUCUUAUAGUUUUGAGUGUAUCAGGUACACCUCCUCGGUUAAGUUCAUUACUAGAUAUUUUAUUCUUUUUGAUGUGAUUGUAAAUGGGAUUGUUUUCUUAAUUUCUUUUUCUG